rnacentral:rRNA from 1 species
UACGAAGGGUGCAAACGUUGCUCGGAAUUAUUGGGCGUAAAGCGCACGUAGGCGGCUUAGCAAGUCGGAAGUGAAAGCCCUCGGCUCAACCAAGGAAGUGCUUUCGAAACUGCUGAGCUUGAAUACUUAAGAGGAUCGCGGAAUUCCCGGUGUAGAGGUGAAAUUCGUAGAUAUCGGGAGGAACACCAGUGGCGAAGGCGGCGAUCUGGGAAGAUAUUGACGCUGAGGUGCGAAAGCGUGGGGAGCAAACAGG